rnacentral:rRNA from 1 species
GUAGGUGGCAAGCGUUGUCCGGAAUUAUUGGGCGUAAAGCGCGCGCAGGUGGGUUCUUUAAGUCUGAUGUGAAAGCCCCCGGGCUCAACCGGGGAGGGUCAUUGGAAACUGGGGAACUUGAGUGCAGGAGAGGAAAGUGGAAUUCCACGUGUAGCGGUGAAAUGCGUAGAUAUGUGGAGGAACACCAGUGGCGAAGGCGACUUUCUGGCCUGUAACUGACACUGAGGCGCGAAAGCGUGGGGAGCAAACAGGAUUAGAUACCCUGGUAGUCCACGCCGUAAACGAUGAGUGCUAAGUGUUGGGGGGUUUCCGCCCCUCAGUGCUGCAGCUAACGCAUUAAGCACUCCGCCUGGGGAGUACGGUCACAAGACUG